rnacentral:tRNA from 1 species
GGACUGGUUAGCUCAGUCUGUUAGAAUGUGGUGCUGAUAACACCAAAGUUGCAGGUUCAAUCCCCGCUCAGUCCC